AUACAGUUUAAGGUUUUUUUUUGCCUUGUUAUUUUUAUAUAAUAAUCAUAUUUAUAUAUGAAUAUUAGUAUAAGUCUGCCAGUUUGUCUAAAACACCCACUUCCCACAAAUAAUUUGAAAAUUACUGGUAGCAAACUUCAAGAAUUAAGGACAUUCGAAGUGACACAGGAAAAAUGGAUGAAAAGAAAUUAAAUAGAGUCUAUUGAAUUAAAAAUUAUUAUUGUCUAACCUUCGCAAGUGAACACGAAUGAAAUACUGUCGUUAAU